GAUGAAGAACGCAGCGAAAUGCGAUAAGUAAUGUGAAUUGCAGAAUUCAGUGAAUCAUCGAAUCUUUGGACGCACAUUGCGCCCCCUGGUAUUCCGGGGGGCAUGCCUGUCCGAGCGUCAUUACAACCCUCAAGCUCAGCUUGGUAUUGGGCCCCGCCGACCCGGCGGGCCCUAAAGUCAGUGGCGGUGCCGUCCGGCUCCGAGCGUAGUAAUUCUUCUCGCUCUGGAGGUCCGGUCGUGUGCUCGCCAGCAACCCCCAAUUUUUUUCAGGUUGACCUCGGAUCAGGUAGGGAUACCCGCUGAACUUAAGCAUAUCAAUAAGCGGAGGA
rnacentral:misc_RNA from 1 species